AUGUACCCAGUAGCAUGGGCUGUGGUGGAGAAAGAGACAAAUGACGGCUGGAAGUGGUUCAUUGCACUCUUAAUCAAAGACUUGGAUAUCAAUGACCAAGGAGAAGGAUGGGUCUUCAUUUCUGACCAACAAAAGGUACAUUUAAUUUACUGCAUGCAUUUUAUUAGUGGUGUAAGACAAAAGGCACUCUAUGAUAGGGUAGGUGAAAAAGGUGUAGUCACAUCAUCGAAGCGAGACAAAAUGCACUCUAUGAUAGGGUAG
rnacentral:rRNA from 1 species